rnacentral:rRNA from 1 species
GUAGGUGGCAAGCGUUGUCCGGAAUUAUUGGGCGUAAAGCGCGCGCAGGCGGGUUCUUUAAGUCUGAUGUGAAAGCCCACGGGCUCAACCGUGGAGGGUCAUUGGAAACUGGAGAACUUGAGUACAGAAGAGGAAAGCGGAACUCCACGUGUAGCGGUGAAAUGCGUAGAGAUGUGGAGGAACACCAGUGGCGAAGGCGGCUUUCUGGUCUGUAACUGACGCUGAGGCGCGAAAGCGUGGGGAGCAAACAGGAUUAGAUACCCUGGUAGUCCACGCCGUAAACGAUGAGUGCUAAGUGUUAGGGGGUUUCCGCCCCUUAGUGCUGCAGCUAACGCAUUAAGCACUCCGCCUGGGGAGUACGGCCGCAAGGCUG